GUCUUUUUGAUUAUAAUUUUAAGUCUGGCCUGCUCAAUGAUUAAAUUAAAUAGCUGCGGUAAAUUGACCGUACAAAGGUAGCAUAAUCAAUAGUUUUUUAAUUAAAAGCUGGAAUGAAUGGUUUGAUGAGAUAUAAACUGUCUCAAAUUUAAAUUUUUAUAAGUUUAUUUUUAGUUAAAAAUCUAAAAUAUUUUUAAAAGACGAGAAGACCCUAUAGAUUUUUAUAGUUUUAUUUUAAAUUUAAAUUAAAUUAAAUUUAGAUUAGGAUAAUUUUAUUUGAUUGGGGUGAUUAUUAAAUUUAUUUAACUUUAAUUAUAUUAGAUAUGAAUUAAUAAAAUUUUGAACCUUUUUUAAAGAUUAAAGAAUAAAUUACCUUAGGGAUAACAGCGUAAUUUUUUUGGAGAGACCAUAUUGAUAAAAAAGUUUGC
rnacentral:rRNA from 1 species